rnacentral:rRNA from 1 species
AGCGAACGUUUGCGGCGGGCUUAACACAUGCAAGUCGAACGGGCUGUUCCUUCGGGGGCAGUCAGUGGCGCACGGGUGCGUAACACGUAGGUAAUCAACCCUCUGGUUGGGGAUAACACUUCGAAAGGAGUGCUAAUACCCGGUAUGGCGCAGCGGUCUUCGGAUCGCGGCGAGAAAGACCCGCAAGGGUUGCCAGAGGACGAGCCUGCGGCCCAUCAGCUAGUUGGCGAGGUAACGGCUCACCAAGGCGAAGACGGGUAGCUGGUCUGAGAGGAUGAUCAGCCACACUGGAGCUGAGACACGGUCCAGACUCCUACGGGAGGCAGCAGUGGGGAAUAUUGCGCAAUGGGCGAAAGCCUGACGCAGCCACGCCGCGUGAGCGAUGAAGGCCU